GCCCCGAGGGCGAGCCCACCAACUGCCCGCCCCGCGAGCAGCCGUACGAGGCGGGCGGCAGGAAAGGCGAUGCGGCGGCCCCGGAGCCGGGCGGACCCUGCAGCUCGGCAGCUGGAAAAAUGCUGAUUUGAAUUCUGACAGGACAACGUGCAUCCAAAACAAGAAGCAUAUCGGCAACUCUCGGCUCGAAAGGGCGGCUAAAGGACAAGAGAAGUUCUCAACUUUCCUCUGAGUGUGAAGAGCUGAACUUGUUAUUGCCUAAAAUCACAAAGAAAUCGGUGUUUAUCCGUUCGCUUCUGGGAUCGCUCUGGGAGAAGCCCGAGCGGUGCUGCCGUAUCGCUUGAAAUUUGGGUUAUUUUGCUUCGGGGGUUUGAUGGAUUUGGGCAGGGGCAGAGCCCUCUAGAGGAGCAGCCCGGCUAUUGCUGGGCCGGCAAUUCGCCUCUGAGGUGCGUGCUUUGCCUUCGAGCUGUCUCGAGUUGAUUCCUUUCCUUCCAGCAAAGGAAACGGGUGAGAAAAUAAUGCUGAAUUAGCUCUAAUAAAAACGCGUGUCCUCAGAAAACUCCAGCUUGCUUUCCCAAACACUGGGGAACGUGGAACAAAAAUAGCUUUGGAGAGGUGGUUACACAGCCGCCACGGCACGGAUAUGCAAACCGACACUUAACUUUAACGAGUGGAGAGAAGAAAGCUUUGAUGGUGUGAUGGCUUUAAAACGUUUAAUUUCCUUAAUGCCUUCAUCCCGCGAGUAGCAUGGAGCAUUGCCUCAAUGCAUGGCUGGCUCUCAGUACAGACCUGUUACCGCUCCCUUUUGCCAAGACAUAAGGAGAGCAACGUUAUGAGCUCCAGAGCUCUGCCAUAAUGGUCUCCAAACAUAGAGGUCUGUGCAAUGCCUUCCAUGUAGAAACACACAGAGAAGCGGCCAGCGAGGUGCCGAGAUGGAAAACUGAACUCAUUUUCCAGGACUGAUCAAAUGAUGUGGGGAAUACCAAGGCUGUUACCUUGUCAAUGUCAGAAGAAAGAAGUAGUGGACACAUCACUUGAUUCAUGAUUUAAACAGACAUGAAACAGAUGCUUUUAUAGCAAACAAGCCUUGUCAAAUCAAUGUGCUCUUGCUCUCCAGUAAGAAUAAAUAAGCAGCUCUCA